UACGUAGGGGGCAAGCGUUGUCCGGAUUUAUUGGGCGUAAAGGGCUCGCAGGCGGCCUGACUAAGUCAUGCGUGAAAUCUCCCGGCUCAACUGGGAGCGGUCGUGUGAUACUAGUCGGCUUGAGGCCGGUAGGGGAGAGCAGAAUUCCCGGUGUAGUGGUGGAAUGCGUAGAUAUCGGGAGGAAUACCAGAGGCGAAGGCGGCUCUCUGGACCGGUCCUGACGCUCAGGAGCGAAAGCGUGGGUAGCGAUCCGG
rnacentral:rRNA from 1 species